AACGCUUGUGUUCGUGUUUGUUGAAUGGGUGGAAAAAACAUAAAAGAUAAACAUAAAAAUGAAUCCUCUUGCAAUCCAGAACUCAUUGCUCAGCAUGAGUCUUGAUAACUGUAAGAAGGAAUAUG